rnacentral:rRNA from 1 species
AGAGUUUGAUCCUGGCUCAGAUUGAACGCUGGCGGCAGGCCUAACACAUGCAAGUCGAGCGGAUGAAGAGAGCUUGCUCUCUGAUUCAGCGGCGGACGGGUGAGUAAUGCCUAGGAAUCUGCCUGGUAGUGGGGGACAACGUCUCGAAAGGGACGCUAAUACCGCAUACGUCCUACGGGAGAAAGCAGGGGACCUUCGGGCCUUGCGCUAUCAGAUGAGCCUAGGUCGGAUUAGCUAGUUGGUGAGGUAAUGGCUCACCAAGGCGACGAUCCGUAACUGGUCUGAGAGGAUGAUCAGUCACACUGGAACUGAGACACGGUCCAGACUCCUACGGGAGGCAGCAGUGGGGAAUAUUGGACAAUGGGCGAGAGCCUGAUCCAGCCAUGCCGCGUGUGUGAAGAAGGUCUUCGGAUUGUAAAGCACUUUAAGUUGGGAGGAAGGGUUGUAGAUUAAUACUCUGCAAUUUUGACGUUACCGACAGAAUAAGCACCGGCUAACUCUGUGCCAGCAGCCGAAGGGCGAAUUCCACAGUG